rnacentral:rRNA from 1 species
CAGUAGCCGCGGGAAUACGAAGGGGGCUAGCGUUGCUCGGAAUUACUGGGCGUAAAGGGAGCGUAGGCGGACAUUUAAGUCAGGGGUGAAAUCCCAGAGCUCAACUCUGGAACUGCCUUUGAUACUGGGUGUCUUGAGUGUGAUAGAGGUAUGUGGAACUCCGAGUGUAGAGGUGAAAUUCGUAGAUAUUCGGAAGAACACCAGUGGCGAAGGCGACAUACUGGAUCAUUACUGACGCUGAGGCUCGAAAGCGUGGGGAGCAAACAGGAUUAGAUACCCGUGUAGUCCCUGUCUCUUAUAA